GCUCACUUGCCACCACAGGUCAUCUCACUCACUGGCGAGGGAGUGUUCCCAAAGAUCUCCCUGAAUUUACCCCGAAGCCUGGCGAAGGAGGGCUACAGUGAUAUGCUUGACCACGCCACAAAAGUAGUCAAAAUGGAGGAUACCUGUUCACUUCCUUAUGAAGAGGUGCUUCUUUUGGAGAUUGAGAAAAUGCUGGUCACAGAAAAUGCUUUGGCGGUGAGCAAGAGCCUUAUGGAGCAGGGGAACUCACAAGGUUCUACCAAAAAAUGGAGUAAA